GGAAGUUCUCAGGUGACAUACCCUGGAAUCGGGCUCCCUCCUCUCUGGUUCCGGGUGUGUCACCUGAGAACUGCA
rfam:Myotis lucifugus cont2.37648, whole genome shotgun sequence.